UAAGCCCAUCAAUGCCUAGAGCUUUAGAGGGGUGAAUGGAAAAGACCGUCUUAUGAAUUUCCUCUCUCAAUAUCGGCCUGACCAAUGCAUCAUUCAUAUUCAAUGUUGUGCGGGGAAGAAGGCUUUCUAUAACUUUACGAAAGUUAACAAGCUAAGAGGAAGUAUAUAUAGAUUGGAAAUAGUCCAUAGUAAUAUCUUGGGUGUAUUCCAAUUUGUGCUUCCAUUUCCCUCCUUGUCUUGCAACCAAGAAAUAAAGUUUCUCCUUCUUCUUUGAAUCACCUUAGCAUGAAAAAGGUAGUGUUCCUAUCUCCUACUUUAAGCCAUUCUUGCCAAGCCUUUUGAGCCUAAUGGAACUCGGCCUUUGUUAACUCUUGAGUUAAAUCAUUUUCCAGGCUUCGAAUAAGCUCACCAUCCCAAUCAACCAUAUUUUGCUUCAUCAUGUGCAGUUGAUGUUGGAGCUUUUGAAUUCGGCAUUGAGAUUGAAAUUACGUUUUCGACUCCAUUCCAAAAGAGCAUUCCUGCAGUUGUCAAACUUUGAAUGAAUGCUAUGAAUAUCCACCCCAACAUUGUUAUUUCUCCGUGCAUCAUCAAUAACAGUCCCUGCCUUUGAG
rnacentral:misc_RNA from 1 species